rnacentral:rRNA from 1 species
UNACGCGCUGGCACAUAGGACGAGGGUUGCGCUCGUUGCGGGACUUAACCCAACAUCUCACGACACGAGCUGACGACAACCAUGCACCACCUGUGCACCGACCUUGCGCACGGCAUAUGUCUGCGGGUUUUCCCUGCAUGUGAAACCCAGGGAAGGUUCUUCUCGUUGCGUCUAAUUAAACCACAUGCGCCGCCGCUUGUGCGGGGCCCCGUCAAUCCUUUGAGUUUAUA